GAUGAACGCUGGCGGCGUGCCUAAUACAUGCAAGUCGAGCGAACGGACGAGAAGCUUGCUUCUCUGAUGUUAGCGGCGGACGGGUGAGUAACACGUGGAUAACCUACCUAUAAGACUGGGAUAACUUCGGGAAACCGGAGCUAAUACCGGAUAAUAUUUUGAACCGCAUGGUUCAAAAGUGAAAGACGGUCUUGCUGUCACUUAUAGAUGGAUCCGCGCUGCAUUAGCUAGUUGGUAAGGUAACGGCUUACCAAGGCAACGAUGCAUAGCCGACCUGAGAGGGUGAUCGGCCACACUGGAACUGAGACACGGUCCAGACUCCUACGGGAGGCAGCAGUAGGGAAUCUUCCGCAAUGGGCGAAAGCCUGACGGAGCAACGCCGCGUGAGUGAUGAAGGUCUUCGGAUCGUAAAACUCUGUUAUUAGGGAAGAACAUAUGUGUAAGUAACUGUGCACAUCUUGACGGUACCUAAUCAGAAAGCCACGGCUAACUACGUGCCAGCAGCCGCGGUAAUACGUAGGUGGCAAGCGUUAUCCGGAAUUAUUGGGCGUAAAGCGCGCGUAGGCGGUUUUUUAAGUCUGAUGUGAAAGCCCACGGCUCAACCGUGGAGGGUCAUUGGAAACUGGAAAACUUGAGUGCAGAAGAGGAAAGUGGAAUUCCAUGUGUAGCGGUGAAAUGCGCAGAGAUAUGGAGGAACACCAGUGGCGAAGGCGACUUUCUGGUCUGUAACUGACGCUGAUGUGCGAAAGCGUGGGGAUCAAACAGGAUUAGAUACCCUGGUAGUCCACGCCGUAAACGAUGAGUGCUAAGUGUUAGAGGGUUUCCGCCCCUUAGUGCUGCAGCUAACGCAUUAAGCACUCCGCCUGGGGAGUACGACCGCGAGGUUGAAACUCAAAGGAAUUGACGGGGACCCGCACAAGCGGUGGAGCAUGUGGUUUAAUUCGAAGCAACGCGAAGAACCUUACCAAAUCUUGACAUCCUUUGACAACUCUAGAGAUAGAGCUUUCCCCUUCGGGGGACAAAGUGACAGGUGGUGCAUGGUUGUCGUCAGCUCGUGUCGUGAGAUGUUGGGUUAAGUCCCGCAACGAGCGCAACCCUUAAGCUUAGUUGCCAUCAUUAAGUUGGGCACUCUAAGUUGACUGCCGGUGACAAACCGGAGGAAGGUGGGGAUGACGUCAAAUCAUCAUGCCCCUUAUGAUUUGGGCUACACACGUGCUACAAUGGACAAUACAAAGGGCAGCGAAACCGCGAGGUCAAGCAAAUCCCAUAAAGUUGUUCUCAGUUCGGAUUGUAGUCUGCAACUCGACUACAUGAAGCUGGAAUCGCUAGUAAUCGUAGAUCAGCAUGCUACGGUGAAUACGUUCCCGGGUCU
rnacentral:rRNA from 1 species